rnacentral:rRNA from 1 species
CUACGGGGGGCACCAGUGGGGAAUAUUGGACAAUGGGGGAAACCCUGAUCCAGCAAUGCCGCGUGUGUGAAGAAGGCCUGCGGGUGGUAAAGCACUUUCGGUUGGGAGGACUGCUUCUAGCACUAAUAUUGUUGGAAGUUGACGUUACCUUCAGAAGAAGCACCGGCUAACUCCGUGCCAGCAGCCGCGGUAAUACGGAGGGUGCAAGCGUUAAUCGGAAUUACUGGGCGUAAAGCGCGCGUAGGCGGCUAGAUCAGUCGGGUGUGAAAGCCCCGGGCUUAACCAGGGAACUGCAUCCGAUACUGUCUAGCUUGAGUACAGGAGAGGAGAGUGGAAUUCCACAUGUAGCGGUGAAAUGCGUAGAUAUGUGGAGGAACACCAAUGGCGAAGGCAGCUCUCUGGCCUGAUACUGACGCUGAGGUGCGAAAGCGUGGGGAGCAAACAGGCUUAGAUACCCGUGUAGUC